UAAAUAAAGUUUCUAGGCCUAAAGUUUAGUCAGGAGUCCACACAUGUUUCAUUCCAGAAUUAAUAAGCAACAGACGCAACACACCAACCCUCGUUACUUUUGACGUCUUUUUUAGUAACCAAUGUGACAACGAUUGCGGAUUGGGCAAAAUUAGGGCCGACAUUAGGGGUAAUCAUCACUAUGGUUAUUCGAUGUCUCACAUCUCAAUCUCACUUGCAGAUUCUUAAUAGGGUUUUCAAGUAUUCAAGAGUUAAGAAAGGAGUGGAUGAUUGGUGAUUCGUAUUGUUGAUUUGCUGGCUUGUAAGACACCACUCAAGUUAGCUAUAGAAAAUGGUUGAUUCGCUGAUUUUCUUUAUACUAAUUCAAUAAGGCCACCACUUUGUAGUUCACUUAGGGCUUCCAAAAAUGUUGGAUCAACCAUAUGUACAAAGUUCAAUAAUCUAGAAGCUCAUCAGUUUGAUCUCUCUAAGCCAAAGAGUCAAACAUCAAUGGGCACAAUAUUCAUGUCAUUAGGUUGGUUGUGAACACAUAUAUUCUAUUUAGUUUACUUGAAUGAUUUAACGUGUUUAUAA